AGAAACCCUCAGACAAGGCUUUAAUGCCAUGUCUGGAUUUUGUCAGAGUGGCAGCGGACUUGAGGUCAUUUUGCCCUUUGUAAAACCAUGGAUAUUUUGAAGAUUUGUUUCAUUCCAACGUGAUAGAAUAUUUCAAUCGUUGGUAUCACAAUCAUCAGAUGUUUCCAAAGCAACCCACAAAAUUCUUUAGAU
rnacentral:misc_RNA from 1 species